rnacentral:rRNA from 1 species
AGUUUGAUUCCUGGCUCAGGACGAACGCUGGCGGCGUGCCUAAUACAUGCAAGUCGAGCGGACCGNAUGAGGGCUUGCNNUGAUUCGGUCAGCGGCGGACGGGUGAGUAACACGUGGGCAACCUGCCCGCAAGACCGGGAUAACUCCGGGAAACCGGAGCUAAUACCGGAUAACACCGAAGACCGCAUGGUCUUCGGUUGAAAGGCGGCCUUUGGGCUGUCACUUGCGGAUGGGCCCGCGGCGCAUUAGCUAGUUGGUGAGGUAACGGCUCACCAAGGCGACGAUGCGUAGCCGGCCUGAGAGGGUGACCGGCCACACUGGGACUGAGACACGGCCCAGACUCCUACGGGAGGCAGCAGUAGGGAAUCUUCCGCAAUGGGCGAAAGCCUGACGGAGCGACGCCGCGUGAGCGAAGAAGGCCUUCGGGUCGUAAAGCUCUGUUGUGAGGGACGAAGGAGCGCCGUUUAAGAAGGCGGCGCGGUGACGGUACCUCACGAGAAAGCCCCGGCUAACUACG